rnacentral:rRNA from 1 species
CCUACGGGGGGCUGCAGUGGGGAAUAUUGCACAAUGGGCGCAAGCCUGAUGCAGCCAUGCCGCGUGUGUGAAGAAGGCCUUCGGGUUGUAAAGCACUUUCAGCGGGGAGGAAGGCGUUAAGGUUAAUAACCUUGUCGAAUGACGUUACCCGCAGAAGAAGCACCGGCUAACUCCGUGCCAGCAGCCGCGGUAAUACGGAGGGUGCAAGCGUUAAUCGGAAUUACUGGGCGUAAAGCGCACGCAGGCGGUCUGUCAAGUCGGAUGUGAAAUCCCCGGGCUCAACCUGGGAACUGCAUUCGAAACUGGCAGGCUAGAGUCUUGUAGAGGGGGGUAGAAUUCCAGGUGUAGCGGUGAAAUGCGUAGAGAUCUGGAGGAAUACCGGUGGCGAAGGCGGCCCCCUGGACAAAGACUGACGCUCAGGUGCGAAAGCGUGGGGAGCAAACAGGAUUAGAUACCCCAGUAGUC